UAUAAAGAAAAGCUGUUAGAUUUGUGCAGUGCGCACAACUUACAUUGGCUUCGAGCUCCAUGAUUAGUGUAGGACCCAACAUGAGCAAGAAUGAACUUUUCCAUUUUCUCUCGCACUAAGCACCUGGCUGUUGCUCUAACAUUAAGUGAAACUAAGUGUUUCUCUGCCGUUGCUUGUUUGGAGAGGCUAGAUUGAGUAGUAAAAGGGAAACACUCUCAAUCUAAGCAUGAAACUUCCAGUAUUAAUGGGAGAUAUAUAUGAGGAAGCUGCUAUCAGCCCUGGGCCCUUAAGCAUAUGACCGUCAGUCAAACAGCUAACCAAACCUUUAUUGUUUCUUUUAACUAUGAAUUGGUCCUGCUAAUCUCAUUAUCUAACUUUCAAGAAAAGUCACUCUGAAAUGUGUAAGGCUCCACAGCUCAUCCCAGCUCUUCCACUCAGGCUAAGAUGGAGUUUACUUAUGCAGAGUCGGAAAGCUUUUCUCUUCCUCCUGAGCCCAGAAGGUACCUCCCAUCCUGUAGCCAGGGAGCAGAAUUGGAGCAAUGCACCAAACCUGUCUGCCUUCAUGGAAUCAGCAACAUCUCUAUUUAUCAGGUUGACUUGGUCACAUUUCACCCACAACAGAACAGAGCACCUGUUGAGCUCAGGGGGUGGCCAGGCACAAACCCACCCACAUCUGAAACCGAGCAAACAGCCAUUUUAACUGCACUUCUUCCCAAACACCCAGUCAGCACUGUUUUCUAAUUUAUAGAUUUUUUUACAUUUUUAAUUACCUGGGCAUACAACUCGCCAGUUUCAUGGCUUCAAACCAACUAAUGUUUACAAGCUGUUAAAAUGUUAGAGACUGAUUUAUAUUUACAUUUCUCUAGGGUUAUGAAUCCUAAAGGAUCCCAAGGUGCUUAACAAGCUGUAUACAUAGAGCUCUACUGAAACGAAGCCACUUCUGGGGAGGGGGAAAAAGGGCAGCCCCCCUAUUUCCUCUAUAAAGGGCAAUGAGAGCUGGCUCUCAGAAGUGCCUUGCAAUCAAAGGAACUCAGAGCCCUGUGUAGGACUCAUUCUCCCCUGUCCUAGCACCCUGGGAUGGAGGCAGCACACUGAAGGAUGCAUAUCUGGCACUGCAAACCCAAGGAUCUGCUUUGCAUCCAGCUCUACGUCUGGGUGCUGGUUCAGGAUUGAAUCCACGCUCUCACGAUCCUUGUUUAGUCGGAAAUUGAAGUCUCCAAACCAG